GUGAGGAAUAUUGGACAAUGGGCGCAAGCCUGAUCCAGCCAUGCCGCGUGCAGGAAGACGCAUCUAUGGUGUGUAAACUGCUUUUGUACGGGAAGAAACACUCCCUCGUGAGGGAGCUUGACGGUACCGUAAGAAUAAGGAUCGGCUAACUCCGUGCCAGCAGCCGCGGUAAUACGGAGGAUCCAAGCGUUAUCCGGAAUCAUUGGGUUUAAAGGGUCCGUAGGCGGUUUAAUAAGUCAGUGGUGAAAGCCCAUCGCUCAACGAUGGAACGGCCAUUGAUACUGUUAGACUUGAAUUACAAGGAAGUAACUAGAAUAUGUAGUGUAGCGGUGAAAUGCUUAGAUAUUACAUGGAAUACCAAUUGCGAAGGCAGGUUACUACUUGUGGAUUGACGCUGAUGGACGAAAGCGUGGGGAGCGAACAGGAUUAGAAACCCUGUAGUCC
rnacentral:rRNA from 1 species